rnacentral:rRNA from 1 species
AUUGAACGCUGGCGGCAGGCCUAACACAUGCAAGUCGAGCGAGCGGCGGACGGGUGAGUAAUGUAUGGGGACUGCCCGAUAGAGGGGGAUAACUACUGGAAACGGUAGCUAAUACCGCAUACUAUCGGAUAACCCAUAUGGGAUUAGCUAGUAGGUGAGGUAAUGGCUCACCUAGGCGACGAUCCCUAGCUGGUCUGAGAGGAUGAUCAGCCGAACUGGGACGGGAACACGGCCAGGACUCCGAGGGAGGCAGAGGUGGGGAAUAUUGCAAAAUGGGGGCAAGCCUGAUGCAGCCAUGCCGCGUGUAUGAAGAAGGCGCUAGGGUUGUAAAGUACUUUCAGUCGGGAGGCGUUACCGACAGAAGAAGCACCGGCUAACUCCGUGCCAGCAGCCGCGGUAAUAC